AUGCUUUCUCUGUGUAUAAGUGUCUGUAAGUCUUCAGUCCUUUUCAGAAUAGAAGAAGUCAGAUUUCUCAAACGAUCCGCCAGCCUCAGCCUCCCGGUAGCUUGGAUUACAGGCACGCGCCACCGCACCCGGCGAAGGAGCGCGUCAUUAAUGGCAGAGACAACUAAGAUCCUGCAUUCCAAGCAGCCCACACCCAAGCUGGAGAUGACACCCACCGGACAAACCAUCGCUGCACAUUCACUUUCAGUAAGAAUGACAUGUUAUAGCUUGUUUAUAGUCUGUUCUUCACUUCAUGUUUUAAUGAAGCUAAUGUUUCAAUUUUGGUGGUGACAGGUGCAGCUGUGGAGGCUGGAGAACUUCAUCCAGAGUUUCCUUGACAACAGAGACGAGAUCAGACGGGGACCAUAGGACCACAUGGAGAAAUGUUGUCACCUGCGUUUUUGGCGGCUCAAUAAGUAAGUCAACACCUGAGUACUAGUAGUGACAUAAAGUGGUGAUAAGCUUAAGGUAGCAAUGUGGAGACAUAUGUUAACAAUAUAUAAUGAUGCUUCUUCUAGCACCCUGCACUUACAACCUCCAGUCCAGACAAAGAGGAGCCUCCGGAUUCCAACCACAUAGAGGAAGUGACUUUAUCACCGCUUCUUUUGUGCUGCUGGGUUUGGAAGCUCUUCAACUCAUUGUUGGCCUCACUUUGAGCAGAAGACGGUCAAGACAAGACAUCAAGUACCAGUUUCAUAGAUAAUCUAGAAACAUCUCUCAGAAGCUUCAAUGAACCAAUUUAAUGUUAACCAUAUAUUUUUAUAUUUUAUUUCAUGUUUAUGUUCCACUGUAAGAUUGUGACCAAGUUGGUAAAAUGCUAAAAUUCUUCUCCUUAGGAUUUAACACCUGUAUAAACUGGUAAUUACACGCUGAGAUCAGUGUUGUAAAACUAAUCAGGAUGUUUAUUUGUUCAUUUCAACAUCUUCUUACUUCACUUUACUCCAUACAUCAAUUUACCAAAUAUACGUGUAAUAAUUGACUAUUUGCCUUAAAAUUCUGUAGAAAUUGCAACAACGAUUGUGUCUUUUACAAGGAAACAGGUUCACUGAGACAGGAUGUGAUAAGUGGUCACAGAGGACAAAUGUCCAAAUACAGAUUAAAGCAGAGAUGUUCACAACAACAGCUUUAAGAUUAACAGUGACAUAUUUUAUUCGCUGGUCCUGGUAAUGCGGAAAAGACUGAGGGAGAACUACUAGUAGUAGAAUCACUGACUUUAGUGAAUGAAAUAUUACAGUGUCAUAUAUGUCGUAUCAACAGUAGAAGCUCAUUGGACAUAUCUGAGUCUGAUGUUUACUUUUGAGAUUUACGCUGAAGUAUAGCACAGUGUCUUUAACAUUAUGAACACACACUACUGCACUGCCAGUUUAAGCUGCAUGUUGUUAGCCCACACUGGGUCACAACAUCUAUCUUCAGAUCCUGGGUUCAACUUUCGGAAAGGAGCCACGCUGAUCUGGGAUCAGUGGUACGUCAACACAAGUCAGAAUUUUUUCUGGACACCAGGAUAUUAGAAAAUACACAACAGGCUUAGACAGAAAAUAUAUAUAGGAUUACAGGAAUAAUCAGUUUCAUCUGAACCUGAGACGGAAUCAGUUUUUCAGUUUAGCUGUUAUCCAGUUGGAAAACACAGCAGCAAGUCCAGAGUAUAAGAUUGCUCUGGAACAAUGCUGACAUUUCUGACAAAGGCUUUCACAGGUGAGAUGAUCUGAUGUCUUUAGAACCCAGUGUCAGAUUUUAACAAUGUGUAUGUUACAAUCUACACUACACUGCCACCAACCUGGUAUUCACUGACAGCGUCAUCAAAGAAAAGAUAAAGGAUUCUCACCAACAUGGUGUGAAAUUAUGACGUCGUCCUGAAAAGAGAACCACAACACACACAAUCACGAUGAGCAGCUCCUCUGUAACACAGGCACAUGAUGCAUGACAGAAAUGUCACGACCAGUUGUGCACUACCAACAAUGCUCAUACCUACGUAAGUCUCUGUGACUUACGUAGGUAUGAGUGUGUGUGGUCUCGCUGCCCCUUGUGACAGACUGAGCAGCCCAUUUGCUGGAUGCCCAAGUUGCUGCUGUGUCUCAGCCAGAAAAUUCUGCUGGUCCACUCUGUGGAAAAACCAUGAAAAUUUAACCAAAACGUAAAGGCCAAUGAAGUGGUUUUGGAUGUAAGCAGUGAGACCGUGUUUGGCUAAUUUAUCAUAUUUUCUCAUACAACUCUUUAUUUAAAUCUCCAAUCUCCUUUCCUUUUUUAAUGCUCAAGAUUUCUAAAUCUACAACAGGAAUCUCCAUCCUCUAUAGUGGAGUUUUUGGCCAAAAUACAGUUGGACAAUGCCUGAGAAUAUGAGCAAAAAACGAAAUAUAUUCAAUCUGUGAAACCAAUAAACCAUCUGAAAAUUGUUUUGAAAAAAAAUUG
ensembl:lncRNA